GGAGAGGUGGCCGAGCGGUUGAAGGCNNGGCGGUCUUGAAAACCGUUGUGGUGAUGAGCCACCGGGGGUUCGAAUCCCUCCCUCUCCGCCA
rnacentral:tRNA from 1 species